rnacentral:misc_RNA from 1 species
CUUGACUGCAUUUGGCCAUUGACUUUUAUCCCUCCUUUCUCAAGAGUAAGUUGCCCUUCAAAGAGGCUGGUAUUUGGUCGAAUUCCAAUGCCUACGAUGACCAUGUCAGCAGGUAGCUUGGUUCCAUCUCUCAAAUUCACUGCAGUCAUCUUAUCAUUGGAGUCGAAAUCAAAUGAUGUCAAGACCGUGCCUUUCACAAACUUAACUCCUUUUGACCGGUAAAAUUCUUCGUAGAAACUUGCAAUUUUAGGAGUAAAUAGGCGGGCCAUACAGUGUGCUUCUGGAAAGACCAUGGUGACAUUUAUUUUGCCAAUCACCAAAGAAGCAGCACAUUCCAUUCCUAUGUAGCCACCACCAAUUACAACAGCAUUGCCACCACCGCUAGAUUGCAUCACAUUAACCAGCCUGUUUGCAUCAGCCAAAUCCCGUAAAUAACAUACACUCUCAGCAUCUGAG